CGCCUCUCAGGUUGGUACCUGGAAAGUUUCCUGUCCUCUUCCAGUCUCGAAUUCAAGAGGGAGAGUCCAGCAGAGGCUUAUCCAUUCCAUUCCUGGCUCGGGCAGUGGCUAGCGAGUGGAAGGCCAUCUGCUACAAGU